ensembl:lncRNA
CAAGGAGGCUGUGGGGAGCUGCACUUGAGCCCUCCUUUAGCUGUUUCUCAUCUUCUAGACCAAAAUGCCACUUCCUACGCCAUGUGCUGCGGGGGCCACGUGGACGCGACGGUGAGCUGCUGCUGGCGGUGGACUUUGUGCCUACCUGUUUUUGUGGUGUUAUGGCCUGUCACUGACGCCUGGAAUAUCCUUGAUGUAAUUCUGAAAGUGUUGCUCAAAGGGUAGAUAAAUGAAUAUUCCACUGCCAGAAAGGCUUUUCCCAUGUUGUGUCUCAGGGCACCUUCUCUUGCAACUGUCAAAAAAAUUGGACUUUAAUUAAGGCAAAGAGGAACCAAGAAUUUGGCAAGAGCACAGCCAGAUGACUCAUCUUGCCCGGAUAACUGGGGCCUCAUCUGGGAUAACACACACGUCAAGGACUGGAGCAGUUGAGGGAUGGGUUUGCAUCUUUUUCUCUCCAGUGCAAUCUUGCAGCCUGUUGUAUCAUGAACUAAGGAUGCCCAUGAGCCAAGCAAAGUUUUAAAAUGUAUCAAUGUUUUUAAAAAAAUCUGAAGAAGAAUAAAGCUCCAUGAAGUCUCAAAGUUAUAUGAGAUUCAAAUUUGUAGCCAUAAAUAAAGCUUCGUUCACACGGCAACACACACUUGUUUAAAUGUUAUCCACUCUGUGCAACUGUAUAUCCUGAAAAACAGUAACCACUGCGCCCUUUAUGGAAAAAUCUGCUGCCCUUUAUG